AGCAGCCGCGGUAAUUCCAGCUCCAAUAGCGUAUAUUAACGUUGUUGCAGUUAAAAAGCUCGUAGUUGAAGUGUGGGUGAUCGCUGUUGUGAGACUUCGGUCUCUCGACAGUAAGUCACCCCCUUCCAGUAUCCAGUAGUGGGUAUUCACUUACUUACUAUUGUGUGUUGGUCCUUUACUGUGAGAAAAUUAGAGUGUUCAAAGCAGGCGUUUGCUUGAAUAGAUUAGCAUGGAAUAAUAAUUGAAGGCUUUCGUGUUCGAUUUGAUUGGUUUGUUCAUGGAAGCAAGGUUAAAAGGAACAGUUGGGGGUAUUCAUAUUCACUAGUUAGAGGUGAAAUUCUCGGAUUUAUGGAAGAUGAACAAGUGCGA
rnacentral:rRNA from 1 species